GCAAUGGAAAUGCAGCUUUGGGAUAACCUAACAAAUGGUUGCAAUUUCUGGACCCCUGGCAUGAAAAACAUCCUGGGCUGCUUCACUGAAAGUUGGACUUGGUGGUUUUGGAGGUUCCUUGCAGCAGAGGUGGCACUGUCUCUCCAUCUGACUGAAGAGAGGGCUGUCACCUACACAUUGGAGGAGUUGUGCCUCUGACUUGCUCUGCCACGGCCUGGAUGUGACUCCUUCCUCCAGCCUAAACCCUAAGGCAUCCCUUGGAUUAUUGCACGGAAAGAGAAGAACAGAGAAGGCUCUGCUCAACCCAGCGGGGCAGAUUAAGUGAAAAUUCAAGGUCAUCAACUGCAAAAUAAAG